rnacentral:rRNA from 1 species
GCCCAGACUCCUACGGGAGGCAGCAGUGGGGAAUAUUGCACAAUGGGGGAAACCCUGAUGCAGCGACGCCGCGUGAGCGAUGAAGUAUUUCGGUAUGUAAAGCUCUAUCAGCAGGGAAGAAAAUGACGGUACCUGACUAAGAAGCCCCGGCUAACUACGUGCCAGCAGCCGCGGUAAUACGUAGGGGGCAAGUGUUAUCCGGAAUUACUGGGUGUAAAGGGAGCGCAGACGGCAGUGCAAGUCUGGAGUGAAAGCCCGUGGCUUAACCACGGGACUGCUCUGGAAACUGUGCAGCUAGAGUGCAGGAGAGGCAGGCGGAAUUCCUAGUGUAGCGGUGAAAUGCGUAGAUAUUAGGAGGAACACCAGUGGCGAAGGCGGCCUGCUGGGCUUUAACUGACGCUGAGGCUCGAAAGCGUGGGUAGCAAACAGGAUUAGAUACCCCAGUACA